GGGGCCGACUGGGGAAGGGGCCGGGAAGAGCUGAGGGCGCACUAGGCGCCGCGCAGAGGCGCCUUUGAGUCGGCAGCCGCGGAGCCAGCGCACGGGCAUCGGCGGGACCCGGCGGACGGAAAGGCGGAGUGGGGGUCUUUGGACUGCACGACUAUAAUUUCAUGUGUGUGAAAUUCAAGGGGAAAAAGGAAACAAUACAUAAUCCAGCAUCACCAGUGUCACACUUCAGGACCUGAUGAAAUGUUUUAUCUUCUGAAAAGCUUUCCUGGCUCAGAUGAGGUGACUCAUGUCAGCCUACACAAAGGCUUCUUCAUAUACUAGAAUUUCUACUAUAAUUUUUCAGCCUUUCCACAAAACAAGUCUUACCAUAAUCCAGCAACAGAGCAAAAGAGAAGUCAAUGAUGAGAAGCUUGAUAAUGUAAAGGUUUAGUUCUAAGUCUGUAGCUUCUCAUGGAUCGUGCAAAGCACCACCAGGACAGACAUCUCAAGCACAUUUGAAGAGCUCCUGUUUCCUAAGUAAGACAGCAGCAGCAAGACUGCAAUCAUUUCUGGGAAGGCAGUAUCAUCAUAAUGCAAUAUUAGCUACUGUGAUCUUCUAUCAUUUCCUUCCUGGAGAGUUAUGACUGUGGCAUUGAAGAUUUAAGACCUACAGCCUCAACACUACUUACUACAAAUCUCUCACAAAGCUGCUGCAAUAAAUCUCGUGGAGGAAAGUCAUUGCAUAAAAAAAUCCUCAACUCCAGGGAGUUGGCCAUUUAUUUUCCUAGAAAAGGGGCUGUGAUGAGAGACACUCCAUGCUCCUUUAACUCCAUGGAACAGAACCCAACAAAACAUUCAUCAUGGAAAGUUGACUGAUGGGCCCAGUGAGACUAGCUGGGGAAGGAAGAUGGAAAGAGAAGUGCCCCAUCCAAGGCCUGCUCCUUUUCCUAGCUGCAGCCCGGAGGGAUUUCCUCUUAGCUUGAGGAUUGACUUUCCAUAGAAUCAGCACCACUGAGGGUAAGCUUCCCUGAAGACAAACUCUGUCAUUGGAGAGCUCAGCCAGGGGUCUAAAACUGGACCCUAUGGACUCCACAGAUUUAUUUAGUCUGCACAGUGUUUAAAAAUGUUUUUAGUUAGGGCCAGGCAUGGUGGCUCCCACCUGUAAUCCCAGCACUUUGAG
rnacentral:lncRNA from 1 species